rnacentral:tRNA from 1 species
GCCUGGGGGGCUCAGCGGUUGAGCAUCUACCUUCGGCUCAGGGCAUGACCCCAGGGUUGUGGGUUCGAGUCCCACAUCGGGCU